AAGAGACGUUGCCCUUCGGGGUAUACCUCCCACCCUUUGUUUAUUAUACCUUUGUUGCUUUGGCGGGCCCGUCCUCGGACCACCGGCUUCUGCUGGUCAGUGCCCGCCAGAGGACCUAAAACUCUGUUUGUUAAUAUUGUCUGAGUACUAUAUAAUAGUUAC
rnacentral:misc_RNA from 1 species